CGGAACGUACCUUUCAGUGGGGGAUAACGUAGCGAAAGUUACGCUAAUACCGCAUAUUCUGUGAGCAGGAAAGCAGGGGAUCGCAAGACCUUGCGCUGAUUGAGCGGCCGAUAUCAGAUUAGCUAGUUGGUGAGGUAAAGGCUCACCAAGGCGACGAUCUGUAGCGGGUCUGAGUGGAUGAUCCGCCACACUGGAACUGAGACACGGUCCAGACUCCUACGGGAGGCAGCAGUGGGGAAUUUUGGACAAUGGGGGCAACCCUGAUCCAGCCAUGCCGCGUGAGUGAAGAAGGCCUUCGGGUUGUAAAGCUCUUUCGGCCGGGAAGAAAUCGCAUGGGUUAAUACCCUGUGCGGAUGACGGUACCGGCAUAAGAAGCACCGGCUAACUACGUGCCAGCAGCCGCGGUAAUACGUAGGGUGCGAGCGUUAAUCGGAAUUACUUGGCGUAAAGCGUGCGCAGGCGGUUUUUUAAGACAGGCGUGAAAUCCCCGGGCUCAACCUGGGAACUGCGCUUGUGACUGGAAGGCUAGAGUAUGGCAGAGGGGGGUGGAAUUCCACGUGUAGCAGUGAAAUGCGUAGAGAUGUGGAGGAACACCAAUGGCGAAGGCAGCCCCCUGGGCCAAUACUGACGCUCAUGCACGAAAGCGUGGGUAGCAAACAGGAUUAGAUACCCUGGUAGUCCACGCCCUAAACGAUGUCAACUAGGUGUUGGGUGGGUAAAACCAUUUAGUACCGGAGCUAACGCGUGAAGUUGACCGCCUGGGGAGUACGGCCGCAAGGUUCAAACUCAAAGGAAUUGACGGGGACCCGCACAAGCGGUGGAUGAUGUGGAUUAAUUCGAUGCAACGCGAAAAACCUUACCUACCCUUGACAUGUCCAUGAGCCUGAAGAGAUUUGGGUGUGCCCGAAAGGGAACUGGAACACAGGUGCUGCAUGGCUGUCGUCAGCUCGUGUCGUGAGAUGUUGGGUUAAGUCCCGCAACGAGCGCAACCCUUGUCGUUAAUUGCCAUCAUUUAGUUGGGCACUUUAACGAGACUGCCGGUGACAAACCGGAGGAAGGUGGGGAUGACGUCAAGUCCUCAUGGCCCUUAUGGGUAGGGCUUCACACGUCAUACAAUGGUCGGUACAAAGGGUUGCCAAGCCGCGAGGUGGAGCCAAUCCCAGAAAGCCGAUCGUAGUCCGGAUCGCAGGCUGCAACUCGCCUGCGUGAAGUCGGAAUCGCUAGUAAUCGUGGAUCAGCAUGUCACGGUGAAUACGUUCCCGGGUCUUGUACACACCGCCCGUCACACCAUGGGAGCGGGUUCCGCCAGAAGUAGGUAGCCUAACCGCAAGGAGGGCGCUUACCACGGCGGGGUUCGUGACUGGGGUGAAGUCGGAACAAGGUA
rnacentral:rRNA from 1 species